GAUCCUGGCUCAGAUUGAACGCUGGCGGCAGGCCUAACACAUGCAAGUCGAACGGUAACAGGAAGCAGCUUGCUGCUUCGCUGACGAGUGGCGGACGGGUGAGUAAUGUCUGGGAAACUGCCUGAUGGAGGGGGAUAACUACUGGAAACGGUAGCUAAUACCGCAUAACGUCGCAAGACCAAAGAGGGGGACCUUCGGGCCCCGUUCGCCAUCGGAUGUGCCCAGAUGGGAUUAGCUAGUAGGG
rnacentral:rRNA from 1 species